rnacentral:tRNA from 1 species
ACUAUUUUGACAGAUUAAUGUGUUGGGUUUAGAUUCCAUUUAUGUAGUUUAUUUCUACAGAUAGUA